rnacentral:tRNA from 1 species
GCCUCGGUUGCUCUGAGGUAGAGCGCCGGCCGACGAGUCCCCAGAUAGCAGGUCCAAAUCCUGUCCGAGGUG